CAAAGGAACUCAUGACAAUUGACAGCCAACUCUGACCCAGCACAGCACUGACCAGAUAGAUGCUUUAAGCAAUGACAACUCCUGGUGGGAUGGGCUUGCUACUCCGUUCCCACCUUAUAGAUGAGGGACACUGAGGCUUGGAGAGGUGAUGUGCCCAAGGUCAUGCAGUCGGGAGGAAGUAAAACUGGAAUAGGAAGAGGAAGUAAAACCGGAAUACAAAGAGGAAGUAAAACCGGAAUACGAAACCACGCUCUUUGGUCAAUAUCACAUUGCUUUGCCAAAUGCUGCUGGGAUUAAUUGGUCAGGGACUGACAGGAUGACAACACCAUUUUGGAAAAUGUCGCUGGACUUACUGAAUCAGAAUCUGCACUUGAACAAAACUCCCAGGUGAUUCAUAGGCACAUUACAGUGUGGGAGGAACUGCUGUAAUAAUUUAGGCAUGGCUUGAUGAGACCCUGUAAUGUGAUAUCAGUGGCAAUGGGAAGAGAAAACUGACUCAGAGAGGGACGCUGGUGAUGAGUCAGCAAACCCUGGAGGCUUAGAAGGAUGUGGAGAGGUGAAGGAGAGAGUGCAGCGGAAAAGCCUUGGAGAUUGUGAACCCAAGGGUGGAGAAAAUGGUAAUGCUAUUGAAAGAAAUGCAGAAGUUGGAACAGGCUCCUGGAUUGAAAGGGAAGAAGUGACCUUGAGCAUCUAACAUGCUGAGUUUCAGGAGACGAUAAGAAAAGCAAGUACGUCCUACACAGAGACAGUCUGUCUGGAAACCAGGUGGCUUUUUUUUUUUUUUUUUGUCUAUUCUAGGUGACAUUUAUGCCUGGAACCUUUCUCUUUGGCGGGUGCCAGGAAGCUGAGAGAGAGGAAUCUCAAGCCAGGAAAUCGAGGAUGGAUCGUGAUUUUAAGCUCCUUGUUAAUUCUGUCAAUAAUUAGUGGUCAAAAUGGAAAAUAUUCAUGAAUGGCCAGUACAUGGAAUACAGAAAACCCCAUGAAAAGCCUGAAAGAGAAAACAAAUGAAAAGCAGAGUUCUGUGAGAGUUCUGUGCUGGGGGUACCUUAUCUGAUUUUCCUCAUCAUUCACCAAGAAGAACCAGCGAAACUUCACAACCAACGGACUGCAGUUGGUGAUGGUGACCGAUACACCUGCUCAAAAGUUACUUGUUGAUUUGAAUUGAACUUGUACCUCUCACCUCUCCUACUGGACCACAAGCUCUUUUUUUCAUCUCCUAGCAGAACAUCUUUCCCAUGGUGAUAAUCAACAGAUACUAAUUUGUUUUAAUGAACAAAAUAUGAUGGAAUCCACUACCAAAAUAAAUGGUCUUGAACAUUCUUCUGCAAACCUCCAGAUGGAGUUUGCUCUUGUCGCCCAGGCUGGAGUGCAAUGGUGCAAUCUCAGCUCACUGCAACCUCUGCCUCCCCGGUUCAAGCGAUUCUCCUGCCUCAGCCUCCCAAGUAGCUGCGAUUACAGGCAUGUGCCACCACGCCUGGCUAAUUUUGUAUUUUUAGUAGACACGGGGUUUCUCCAUGUUGGUCAGGCUGGUCUCGAACUCCCGACCACAGGUGACCCACCCACCUCGGCCUCCCAAAGUGCUGGGAUUACAGGCGUGAGCCACCGUGCCCGGCCAAAUUUUUGCCUUUUAUACUUAAACAUUUAAAAAUCAUGCAUUAGGAAUUAAUAUUUCUUUGGACUCAAAAAGCCUAGAUUUUUAUAAAGCAGAAAGGAUCAAAAGUGAAUUUACAGCAUGAAUAGGUUAUAUAGAAGAGUGCUCAGGUUAGGGAUGUUAAUGCAUUCCAGUCUCUUCUCAAUUAUGUAGCAUGAUUUAGAAGAACAUUCGGGGAUGCUUUUAGUAAAGCUUAAGCUGAGUUUAGUCCCCCAGCAGCUCAGAAUUAAUGCCUUCAAAAAUAUGGACAACUCUUGAUAACCACAUUAUAAAUAUGCUCUUCCAACAGCUGUCAGUGUCUUGAGAUAAGGGCCUGUGUUCUAUUCAUCUUUACAUCCUCAGUGCCUAGCACAGUAUUUGUCACAUGGUAUACACACAAUAAAAGUUGGCUGAUCACCUGAAUAACAGAGAGAAGGAACACAUUAUCUUUUCCACAAUGAGAGAUAACCUCCCCUUUUGUUGAACUGAGGAUGCGUUUUACCUGAAAAUGCUCUAUGAAGAAAUAAUCUAAUGAAAUAAAGUAGAAUCUGUGACCUUAGAGAAGCUAAGCAAGGGACUAGCUUUCCAGCUGUGUCUACUGGGAGACAAAGUUCUUUUUGCUUCCUAUUUAAUGUGGGGAAAAGUCAGUAUCACCUCCAAAUUUGGCAACACAAGCAGGAUCUUAAGCAAGCAUCAUUUCUCAUCUACAAGGUCUGCAUUUUGUCGGGAGGGAGAGACUCUUAAGUGACUUUGAAAGCCUUUCCUUUAGGUUUUUAAUGGUUUCCACACUCUGUGAGAGAAUAGGGAUAAAGAAACACUCAUGAUUUGGAUCUACUGAAAUGUUUUACGUAGAGUGUAUGGAGAUCAUGUAAAUAAAAGCAGGGAAUCAGAGUUGCUGAAGAUAAAUGUGGCUCUUUUAUUAAUGCAUAAAAAGAAGAUGUUUUGAAAUGUGAGUUGCAGUCAGGCUGGAAAGAAAGGAACA
rnacentral:lncRNA from 1 species